AACAGCUGCUUUUGAUAUUGGAGUUUUGCAACGCGUUCCUUCAGCUCUGUGACAUAGUUUCUAAUGCUUCUCACAUUUUCCUCUGCUGCAUUUUGGAACAUCUUCUGCAUUUUCUUCAUGUUGACUGAGCUUGUACGCCGAGAACCAGGUGUCCCUUCCUUUGACGACACAUCUCCACCUUCCUCACUCUUCAUUGGAGUCUGUUGUUGUUUCUCGGACACUUUGGACGCAACAUCAUCGCUCUCCGGUGCUCUAUUUUCUGUCUCGUUCUCCAGUACUUGCCUCGAUGAUGCCAAAGGCGCACAAGGAGAUCUAAUGAAGUUCUGCAUGUUUGCACCGUUGCUUGAACAUAAAGGGUGAGUCUUUUUCUUCCUGUGCUGGUUCUUAGGAUUGGAAGCUGCUGACUCAUCUGAAUUGUUACUUGGAAGUGACAUGAUCAGCUUGUCAAUCGACUUCUGGACGUUCUCUAGUUGCUCUUCGAGAUUUGCGAUGUUGCUUCCUUGCGAAUGAAGUCUCGUUAUUUCUUCCUUCAGAUUAGCACUGACACUCUUGUUAGUGGCUACUCCAGUACUUCCAAUUGCAACUUCCCUUGGUAGCUGCGGAGCUGAGCGCAUUUCCCUUAUUUCAGCUUGAAGUUUAGCUAUUGUCUCGGCUGCAUCUUGAUUACCUAGUCUGUGACAAGCAACCUCUUUCUGCAAAACUUCCAGAGCCCGAUUAGCUUCUUCCCCAAGUUGAUCCUGAAGGUGUUCGAGCUUGCGAAUUUCAUGCAUCAGUGUGAAAGGUGCAGCUGAUGAUAGUCUCAUGGACUGCCUUAGUGUUGCUUUUGUCAUCUUCUCACAGUGAAUGAAGUCCUUGCUCUCAGGUUUCGACGUCAUUGCUGCUGAGUAUGACAGACACUUCUUCACGAGUGGGUGGGGUGAUUCAACUUCGCGGAAUAUCUACACAGCAGAAAUUUGAGGAUAAAUGAGCAGAAAGCCUAAAGAAUGUUAUGUAGAAGAAAAUAGAUAGAAUUUACAGCAUGAGGCAGCAGAAGCAGACCUUUCCAUCUUCAAGUUUUUCAUCUUGGAGUUUCUUGCGUAACUCGUCCACCUCACACUUCGCAAGGUCUCUUUGGCGCCUCAGUUCCUCAAUUUCCAUCUCCAGCUGCACAUAUUGAGACAGUUGAGUUCAAUGAAUGGAGCUACAAUUAGUUAAACUUUACUACCAACUUUGAAUUAAUCAAAAUGUAUUGAAGUUUCACCUGCUGUAUUUUCCAGUCUUUUUCAGAUGAAGGGUCAGGAGUGCGCCGUUCUGCUUCCAGCCUCGCUACUUCCUUCUGUAAAUGCUUCACUAGCUGCUUGUCCGAAAUAACCUGAUAAUAUUAUUCGGGGUAAGAAUAUUAAUAGCCGUUUUUUAAUCAAAACAAGAAUGAAAGAUAUCUCAUCAGCAGGGUCUCCUUUGAACAGAAGAUAGAAUUGUGUUCUGUGGAUGAUUGGUACAAAGCAAACGUCCCAUAAUUCUAUGAUCUGCUGCCGUUGUUCUCUGAAGGUCACAUGCCAUGGAACUUGUGGUUCUACCGGUCCAAUCGCUGCUUCCUCCUCGUCCUCCAAGUUAUACCCAGCUGCUUCAUUUGCUUCCAGUUCUAGUACCUAGAAACAUAACACAACAGAAUCAGAACUUUAAAGAAUCUGAACAAAUACAACACAGCACUUCUAAUUUUCAUACCUGGCAGACUAACAGCUGCUUUUGAUAUUGGAGUUUUGCAACGCGUUCCUUCAGCUCUGUGACAUAGUUUCUAAUGCUUCUCACAUUUUCCUCUGCUGCAUUUUGGAACAUCUUCUGCAUUUUCUUCAUGUUGACUGAGCUUGUACGCCGAGAACCAGGUGUCCCUUCCUUUGACGACACAUCUCCACCUUCCUCACUCUUCAUUGGAGUCUGUUGUUGUUUCUCGGACACUUUGGACGCAACAUCAUCGCUCUCCGGUGCUCUAUUUUCUGUCUCGUUCUCCAGUACUUGCCUCGAUGAUGCCA
rnacentral:lncRNA from 1 species